AAACAACAAGCAACAAGCUACUAAGGAGUCGGGAACUCGAGCCUAGCAACUGUCAAGCACACACACAAAAAGAAAACAAAGUGCCCGGAGAGACCUCGCACGGUCUCCUGCCUACGUACCUCAUCUGGUAUGAGGAUCAGGGCGACGUAGUUCCCCUAAACAGGGGAGAAACUAUCUCCUAACCAGAAACAAAAGGGAGACACACUACUAGGGAGCUGGACUCGAGCC
rnacentral:lncRNA from 1 species